rnacentral:rRNA from 1 species
GGUCCGCCCGGGAACUACGAGCACCAGCUUAAAACCCAAAGGACUUGGCGGUGCUUAAGACCCACCUAGAGGAGCCUGUUCUAGAACCGAUAACCCCCGUUAAACCUCACCCUCCCUUGUUCCUACCGUCUAUAUACCGCCGUCGUCAGCUCACCCUGUGAAGGACCCAAUAGUGAGCACAACUAGCACAGCCCUAAACGUCAGGUCGAGGUGUAACGUAUGGGAGGGAAAGAAAUGGGCUACAUUCUCUGCAACCAGAGCACACGAAAAGUGUACUGAAAACCACACUAGAAGGAGGAUUUAGCAGUAAGUGAUAAACACGAGAGUAUUACUGAAGCCGGCCCUAAAGCACGCACACACCGCCCGUCACCCUCUGCAGUCAA